rnacentral:rRNA from 1 species
GUCCUAGUUACCAGCACGUAUGGUGGGCGACUCUAAGGAGACUGCCGGUGACAAACCGGAGGAAGGUGGGGAUGACGUCAAGUCAUCAUGGCCCUUACGGCCUGGGCUACACACGUGCUACAAUGGUCGGUACAAAGGGUUGCCAAGCCGCGAGGUGGAGCUAAUCCCAUAAAACCGAUCGUAGUCCGGAUCGCAGUCUGCAACUCGACUGCGUGAAGUCGGAAUCGCUAGUAAUCGUGAAUCAGAAUGUCACGGUGAAUACGUUCCCGGGCCUU